AACAUAGCGAACAUUAUCAAUAAAAGUAGAAGGGGUAAUUUGAACUUUACCUAUACCAAUGAUGUGACCCUGGUUAUUGUCUCCAAAAGUCACAGCACCUCCCUUCUUAGCUUCAAGGGUGAAGAAUUGAUCCUUGUCACCCGUCAUGUGUCUUGAGCAGCCACUAUCCAAGUACCAGCAAUUUUUGUUGACCUUGGCUGCAAGACACUCUUACACAAGCAGAUCAUAUAAUCUUAGGUAUCCAAGUUUUUUUGGGUCCUUCAUGGUUAGUCAUAUUGGUUCCUUUUGGAACCCAUACCCUUUUAAUUUUUCUUUUAGUUUUCCCUUUCCUAUA
rnacentral:lncRNA from 1 species